UGGGGAAUAUUGGACAAUGGGCGCAAGCCUGAUCCAGCCAUGCCGCGUGAGUGAUGAAGGCCCUAGGGUUGUAAAGCUCUUUUGUGCGGGAAGAUAAUGACGGUACCGCAAGAAUAAGCCCCGGCUAACUUCGUGCCAGCAGCCGCGGUAAUACGAAGGGGGCUAGCGUUGCUCGGAAUCACUGGGCGUAAAGGGUGCGUAGGCGGGUCUUUAAGUCAGGGGUGAAAUCCUGGAGCUCAACUCCAGAACUGCCUUUGAUACUGAAGAUCUUGAGUUCGGGAGAGGUGAGUGGAACUGCGAGUGUAGAGGUGAAAUUCGUAGAUAUUCGCAAGAACACCAGUGGCGAAGGCGGCUCACUGGCCCGAUACUGACGCUGAGGCACGAAAGCGUGGGGAGCAAACAGGAUUAGAUACCCAGGUAGUCCCUGAGCGGGCUGGCAAGGCGCAU
rnacentral:rRNA from 1 species